UACGAAGGGGGCUAGCGUUGUUCGGAAUCACUGGGCGUAAAGCGCACGUAGGCUGAUUGGUCAGUUGGGGGUGAAAUCCCGGGGCUCAACCUCGGAACUGCCUUCAAUACUGCCAGUCUUGGGUCCGAGAGAGGUGAGUGGAAUUCCUAGUGUAGAGGUGAAAUUCGUAGAUAUUAGGAAGAACACCAGUGGCGAAGGCGGCUCACUGGCUCGGUACUGACGCUGAGGUGCGAAAGCGUGGGGAGCAAACAGG
rnacentral:rRNA from 1 species